CGGUUAAGAGGCUGUGUUAUUAGGGUGACAGCUAGCCUAGCGGUUAAGAGGUUGUGUUAUUAGGGUGGCAGGUAGCCUAGCGGUUAAGAGGUUGUGUUAUUAGGGUGGCAGGUAGCCUAGCGGUUAAGAGGUUGUGUUAUUAGGGUGGCAGGUAGCCUAGCGGUUAAGAGGUUGUGUUGUUAGGGUGACAGCUAGCCUAGCGGUUACGAGGUUGUGUUAUUAGGGUGGCAGGUAGCCUAGCGGUUAAGAGGUUGUGUUAUUAGGGUGGCAGGUAGCCUAGCGGUUAAGAGGUUGUGUUAUUAGGGUGGCAGGUAGCCUAGCGGUUAAGAGGUUGUGUUAUUAGGG